ACGGUGACAGAUAUAAUAACUGUGCACUCUCAGCAUCAGGCACAACCUUCAGACACCAGGACUAUUGUUCUCCUCCAAGAUCAGUCCGGUCAUGAACUAAACCUUGUUCUUUGGGGUGAGCGUGCAAACGAGUUUAAUGCUGAAGAGGUUCGCGCUACAAGUGAAGCAGGCCCUGUGAUUGCAAUCUUUGUAGGGACACUGCCAAAAACAUACCAUGGCGUUAAAGGCCUAAGUGGCAGCUCCGCAUGUCGUUGGUAUAUUGAUGAGGACUUUCCAGAGCUAAAUGUCUUUCGUGCUAGCCUUGGACAAGACAUUGCUCCUGUGACUGCUAAUGUCCAAGGAGAACAGGCUAUCAUUGCAACACCUGUUCGUGAACCUCCUGUUGAAAGUACUGCUGGAGAGCUUCUUGCCCUUGACCCUUUUGACAAUGAGCGGAAACAAUUCAUUUGCACUGUCACUAUCUGACGGUUAGGCCCCCUACGCCACCUAGGUCCAGCGAAAGUUGGCUUUUUUAUUGAUGUCGAGGAGGAGCGCGGGCACACAAG